AUUGAAUGCUAGCGGGAUGCCUUACACAUGCAAGUCGAACGGAGUGGCGAACGGGUGAGUAAUGUAUCGGAACGUGCCCAGUAGCGGGGGAUCACUACGCGAAAGCGUAGCUAAUACCGCAUACUGUUGGAGCGGCCGAUAUGGGAUUAGCUAGUUGGUGGGGUAACGGCUCACCAAGGCCACGACCCGUAGCUGGUUGGAGAGGACGACCAGCAACACUGGGACUGAGACACGGCCCAGACUCCUACGGGAGGCAGCAGUGGGGAAUUUUGGACAAGGGGGGAAACCCUGAUCCAGCCCGCCCGCGUGUGGGAUGAAGGCCUUCGGAUUGUAAAGCACUUUUGGCAGGAAAGCGGUACCUGCAGAAUAAGCACCGGAUAACUACGUGCCAGCAGCCGCGGUAAUAC
rnacentral:rRNA from 1 species